AUUGAACGCUGGCGGCAGGCCUAACACAUGCAAGUCGAACGAGUGGCGGACGGGUGAGUGAUGUCUGGGAAACUGCCUGACGGAGGGGGAUAACUACUGGAAACGGUAGCUACUACCGCAUACCAUCGGAUGUGCCCAGAGGGGAUUAGCUAGUAGGUGGGGGAAAGGCUCACCAAGGCGACGAUGCCUAGCUGGCCUGAGAGGGUGACCAGCCACACUGGGACUGAGACACGGUCCAGACUCCUACGGGAGGCAGCAGUGGGGAAUAUUGGACAAUGGGCGCAAGCCUGACGCAGCCAUGCCGCGUGUAUGAAGAAGGUCUUCGGGUUGUAAAGUACUGUCAGCGGGGAAGCGUUACCCGAAUAAGAAGCACCGGCUAACUACGUGCCAGCAGCCGCGGUAAUUC
rnacentral:rRNA from 1 species